rnacentral:rRNA from 1 species
GACGAACGCUGGCGGCGUGCUUAACACAUGCAAGUCGUACGGUAAGGCCCUUUCGGGGGUACACGAGUGGCGAACGGGUGAGUAACACGUGAGUAACCUGCCCACAACUUUGGGAUAACGCUAGGAAACUGGUGCUAAUACUGGAUAUGUGCUCCUGCUGCAUGGGGGGGGUUGGAAAGCUCCGGCGGUUGUGGAUGGACUCGCGGCCUAUCAGCUUGUUGGUGGGGUAGUGGCCUACCAAGGCGGCGACGGUUAGCCGGCCUGAGAGGGUGACCGGCCACAUUGGGACUGAGAUACGGCCCAGACUCUUACGGGAGGCAGCAGUGGGGAAUAUUGCACAAUGGGCGCAAGCCUGAUGCAGCAACGCCGCGUGCGGGAUGACGGCCUUCGGGUUGUAAACCGCUUUCAGCAGGGACGAAGCUUUUUGUGACGGUACCUGCAGAAGAAGCACCGGCUAACUACGUG